GCCUCCAUAGUUCAAGGGAUAGAACGCGGACCUCCUAAGUCUGAGAUACAGGUUCGAGUCCUGUUGGGGGUACCA
rnacentral:tRNA from 1 species